rnacentral:rRNA from 1 species
UACGAAGGGGGCUAGCGUUGCUCGGAAUUACUGGGCGUAAAGCGCACGUAGGCGGCUAUAUCGGAUGGGAGACCUGUGGCUCAACCACAGAAUUGCCUCGAUACUGGUUGGCUUGAGACCGGAAGAGGACAGCGGAACUGCGAGUGUAGAGGUGAAAUUCGUAGAUAUUCGCAAGAACACCAGUGGCGAAGGCGGCUGUCUGGUCCGGUUCUGACGCUGAGGCGGCGAAAGCGUGGGGAGCAAACAGG